AUGGAGCCGCAUAUCUUUGAACUGCUGGCAUCAUAUCUUAGAAGGGAAAAUUUGAUCAAGGACAAGACAAUCAAGGUGGAGGAGAAAUUAGGCUUUUUCCUUUACAUGUUGUCUCACAAUGCGUAUUUUGAAGAUUUGCAACUAGAAUACCAACAUAGUGGGUGGACCUUCCAUGAAUACAUCAAGUCUUUCUUCGACAUCAUCCCCAUUCUAUCUUGUCGAUUUCUGAGAAUUGCAUAG
rnacentral:rRNA from 1 species